GAUGGACGCUGGCGGCGUGCUUAACACAUGCAAGUCGAACGGAAAGGCCCUGCUUUUGUGGGGUGCUCGAGUGGCGAACGGGUGAGUAACACGUGAGUAACCUGCCCUUGACUUUGGGAUAACUUCAGGAAACUGGGGCUACUACCGGAUAGGAGCUCCUGCAGCAUGGUGGGGGUUGGAAAGUUUCGGCGGUUGGGGAUGGACUCGCGGCUUAUCAGCUUGUUGGUGGGGUAGUGGCUUACCAAGGCUUUGACGGGUAGCCGGCCUGAGAGGGUGACCGGCCACAUUGGGACUGAGAUACGGCCCAGACUCCUACGGGAGGCAGCAGUGGGAAAUAUUGCACAAUGGGCGGAAGCCUGAUGCAGCAACGCCGCGUGCGGGAUGACGGCCUUCGGGUUGUAAACCGCUUUCGCCUGUGACGAAGCGUUAGUGACGGUAAUGGGUAAAGAAGCACCGGCUAACUACGUG
rnacentral:rRNA from 1 species